rnacentral:rRNA from 1 species
CCUACGUGUGGCAGCAGUGGGGAAUAUUGGACAAUGGGGGCAACCCUGAUCCAGCGACGCCGCGUGAGUGAAGAAGUAUUUCGGUAUGUAAAGCUCUAUCAGCAGGGAAGAAAGUGACGGUACCUGACUAAGAAGCGACGGCUAACUACGUGAGAGCAGCCGCGGUAAGACGUAGGGGGCAAGCGUUACCCGGAUUUACUGGGUGGAAAGGGCACGUAGACGGUGCAGCAAGUCUGAUGUGAAAGGUCGGGGCCCAACCCCGGGACUGCAUUGGAAACUGGUGAACUGGAGUACAGGAGAGGUGAGCAGAAUUCCAGGUGUAGCGGUGAAAUGCGUAGAUAUUAGGAGGAACACCAGUGGCGAAGGCGGCCUACUGGACUGUAACUGACGUUGAGGCUCGAAAGCGUGGGGAGCAAACAGGAUUAGAUACCCGUGUAGUC